rnacentral:rRNA from 1 species
GACGAACGCUGGCGGCGUGCCUAAUACAUGCAAGUAGAACGCUGAAGGAGGAGCUUGCUCUUCUGGAUGAGUUGCGAACGGGUGAGUAACGCGUAGGUAACCUGCCUGGUAGCGGGGGAUAACUAUUGGAAACGAUAGCUAAUACCGCAUAAGAGUAGAUGUUGCAUGACAUUUGCUUAAAAGGUGCAAUUGCAUCACUACCAGAUGGACCUGCGUUGUAUUAGCUAGUUGGUGGGGUAACGGCUCACCAAGGCGACGAUACAUGGCCGACCUGAGAGGGUGAUCGGCCACACUGGGACUGAGACACGGCCCAGACUCCUACGGGAGGCAGCAGUAGGGAAUCUUCGGCAAUGGACGGAAGUCUGACCGAGCAACGCCGCGUGAGUGAAGAAGGUUUUCGGAUCGUAAAGCUCUGUUGUAAGAGAAGAACGAGUGUGAGAGUGGAAAGUUCACACUGUGACGGUAUCUUACCAGAAAGGGACGGCUAACUACGUG